CCUACGGGGGGCAGCAGUCGGGAAUAUUGGGCAAUGGAGGAAACUCUGACCCAGCAAUACCGCGUGAAGGAUGAAGGUUUUCGGAUUGUAAACUUCUUUUGUCAAGGGACAAAAUCAGGCUCGAGAGCCUGACCGAGGGUACUUGAAGAAAAAGCAUCGGCUAACUCCGUGCCAGCAGCCGCGGUAAUACGGAGGAUGCGAGCGUUAUCCGGAUUUAUUGGGUUUAAAGGGUGCGUAGGCGGGCUGUUAAGUCAGCGGUAAAAGCCCGGGGCUCAACCCCGGCGAGCCGUUGAAACUGGCUGUCUUGAGAUGUCGAGAGGUAUGCGGAAUGCGCAGUGUAGCGGUGAAAUGCUUAGAUAUUGCGCAGAACUCCGAUUGCGAAGGCAGCAUACCGGCGGCGAUCUGACGCUGAGGCACGAAAGCGUGGGUAUCGAACAGGAUUAGAUACCCUUGUAGUC
rnacentral:rRNA from 1 species